ACAAAGACACACACACACACACACACAAUUAGAAAUUGGGAUUGUGUGCAACUGAUUGAACUCAGACAAAACGAUAACUUUCUUCUGCAUGUGCAGCAUCUCCCCUCCACGACCCCACACAUGACUAAAGUUUACAGACAAAAUAAACAGAAUUUCAGACAAAAUAAACAUUUCUUGAAAGCAUUGUUUACAAAUGGGAAAUGCAGUCAGAGGCUAUGAAGGUGCUGCAGAUGACAGUCCCCCCAGUUCUCUCUUUGCUGAAGCCAUGAGUGCACGUUUCAGUGCCCAACAGGUCAUAGAUCUGAGGAACAAGAGACCAAUGAUUUAGAAGAGGAGGAGGUAUCUGAAGAAGAAGAUGGGGAAGAAUACAACCCAGAGCACGAUGCAUCACCUUCAGAUGAAGAAGAAAUCCCCCAAGCUGAUUGAGAGGCAUUUUUGUCAAAGAACAGCAAAAUAACAUGGUCCUUGUCACCAUAUGACAACCAGGCCAGGAUAGCAGCACAAAAUGACAUAACGAUGACCCCAGGGCCCACAAGACAUGCAGUUGCCCAUGCCAAGGACAUCGCCUCAACAUUCUACAUGUUCAUCAUCCUGGAGAUGACAAAUUUGGAGGGUUUCCGUAAAAAUGAAGACAACUGGAAAAGGAUGGAUGAGAUUGACCUGCGUGCCUACAUAGGGCUGCUAAUCUUAGCGGAUGUGUAUAGGUCUCGAGGUGAGGCUACGUGUGGACUCUGGGAUGGAGAGAGUGGAAGGGCAAUUCCCCGUGCCACGAUGCCACUGGAAGUCUUUCACCCUUUCUCAAGAAUGCUACGAUUUGAUAACCGUGAGAACUGCAAGACGUGUGAGAGACAAACUGAGAGGUCUGGAAGAAGUGGGUGGAGCAUCUGCCGUACCUCUACAACCCUGGGCCUGAAGUAACAGUGGAGGAGCAACUGGUUCCAUUCAGAGGUUGCUGUCCUUUCCGGCAGUAUAUUCCCAACAAGCCAGCUAAGUAUGGCAUCAAGAUAUGGGUGGCCUUCCAGCUAUGCUGGAAGAUGGAAGUCUACACAGGGAAGCCGACCAGCGGAGGCACGGAGAAGAACCAGGGGAUGCGGGUUGUGCUUGAUGUGACAGAUGGACUUAGGGGGCACAAUGUCACGUGUGACAAUUUCUUCACCUCUUAUGAACUCAGCCAGCAGCUCCUGAAGAGGAAGAUCACCAUGGUUGGAACAAUUAGAAAGAACAAACCUGAGCUCCCCCCCUGCACCUUCUCAUCAAAGUUGGCCUUCACCCCCCACUCUAGUUUCUUACCUCCCAAAGAGGAACAAGAAUGUGGUCCUCCGGAGCACACUGCACAAAACGGCUGAGAUCAGUGAUCGUGAGGGCAGGACGCCAGCCAUCAUCCUGGACUACAACCACAACAAUGGAGGCAUGUACAACCUGGACAUGGUGAUUGGAACUUACAGCUGCAGGAGGAUGACAGCCCGCUGGCCCCUGGUCAUCUUCCAUAACAUCAUUGAUAUGUCCUCAUACAAUGCCUUCGUGACAUGGUAUAAGAUCAACCCUACCUGGAUGCCUGAUAAGCGGAACAAGAGGAGUGUGUUCCUGAGGUAGCUGGGAAAUUGCACUUGUAACCCCACACUUUCAAAGAAAGGAGCACCUCCCCUGCACAGCAGCCUCUGCAGCACUUGUGAAAGCUGUUCAGUGGGCUGAAUCUUGUCCUGAUCCACCGGAGGUUGCAGCUGGGGCAGGCAGGAGGAGGAGAUGCCAAUUCUGCCCCCCCCAAAGAAGGACUGUAUAACAAAUACUAUGUCCUGCACAUGUGAGAAAUACAUCUGCAAAGUCCAUGCUCACACACUUGCAUACUGUCCUACAUGUGCUAAUUAGAGUUGAUUGAUUUAUGUUCUUCAGGUUUUUGUUUUGUAUCUAUUAUAUUUUGCAGUUUAAUUCUUUAUUGUACAAAUUCUUUAUUGUACAAAAGUUAUGUUGUUUCCCUUCAAUAAAAUGCAUUCAAAACUACAUAAUGCACAUUUCUGUUACUUUCUUAGGCUAUACAAGUGCUAUCUCUUGCAAAAGAAUUAUGUUUACACCUAUGCAGUACCUUUAGCAGUAGUAAUAAUAAUAAUAAACCUCUACUUUAGUAAAGAAAACAAUUAUGACAGGUGUGUUAAAAACGAGUGGUGUCCACUGAUGCAGUCAAUGCAGUCUUUCUGCAUUGUGAAGAGUGACAGGUGACAAGUUGUUUCUUCAUGCAAAAUAGAUUUGGGGUUUAAAAUUCAAUUAAGCUGCUUCAUUUUAGGGGUUUAAUGAAGGCAGGUCAUUUUUUACCCUUAGGACAAAGGGAGUAUACCGAAUGUUAAGACUACACAAGGGAUGUCUUAAAGUAAUGGUGGACGAUCGUUUCUCUUUGCUUAUUUCAGCUGUUCUUACCAUAAUAUGGACCAAAUAGGGAUAUCUUCUGUAUACCACCCCUACCUUGUCACAACACAACGGAUUGCCUCAAAUGCAUUAAGGAAAGACAUUUCAAAAAUUAACUUUUAACAACUCACACCUGUUAAUUGAAAUGCAUUCCAUGUGACUACCUCAUGAAGCUGGUUAAGAGAAUACCAAGAGUGUGCAAAGCUGUCAUCAAGGCAAAGGGUGGCAAUUUUGAAGAAUAUAAAAUAUAUUUUGAUUUGUUCAACACUUUUUUGGUUACUACAUGAUUACAUGUGUGUUAUUUAAUAUUUUAUUAUUCUACAAUGUAGAAAAUAGUCAAAAUAAAGAAAACCCCUUGAA